CCGUGCGCGCCUACAGUCCCCGCCCCGCCGUCCAAGCCCCGCCCCGACUGGCACCGGAGGCUCGACGGCCACUGCCUCGUCCUGCGUUUCCUGAGGGCCUCCGGCGCCCCGCUGUCGGGCGCAUCCCUCCAGAGAUGAGGUCUCAUGUGCUCCCCAGGCUGGUCUCGAACUCCUGGACUCAAGCGAUCCGCCCGCCUCGGCCUCCCAAAGCACUUGUUACUUCAGCUCACCCAAUUCCAUAGAACCCUAGGGGGUGCAGAGGAUGCAGAUCUCUGAGCAGAUGAGGGCAGAGAGCAGGAGGCCACACUCGGUCCGAAGCAGGACUGUGCAGCUGUGCAAGAGGUGGAGGCUACGCCCGUGACAGCAGAUGGGUCCUGGUAGUCACACAGAAAACCGGCGAGCUGGAUUUGUCCUGGUGAUGAGGCUCUGGAGCAGCAGUUGCAUGGAGUCAUUCCUGUCCUCCUUAACCACAUCCCCAGGGGCCACUCACCUUCUUCCCAGGUGAAUCACCCAUGCAAGACUCUUCCAAGUCAGCAAUGCAUUUUGCCUUUGGACUACAACCCUGGAAAGAAGACAUCCACCUGGCCCUUCCUACCUGGCUGGCCCUUGCUCUGCAGAUGAGUGUGGGAGUUUGCCCAUUGUCAAGUGUAACUGUUUCAAUUACACAUUCAGGAACUGGAAAGACGACCACAGAUGAGGUCUGUGGACCCCCUUACCACCUGACCUCCACACGCCCUCCCUUUGACUAGCAGGCCAGUGGCAUCUUGGACCCCUGGGAUUAGGAAUGAUUCAAAACCCAUAAAGAUUACCACCCAUACCAUCCCCUAAAAUAACUGAUUUUUCUGACCAGGCACGGUGGCUCAUGCCCGUAAUACCAGCACUUUGGGAGGCUGAGGCAGGUGGAUCACCUGAGGUCAGGAGUUCGAGACCAACUGUGGGCAGCAAGCCACCCAGGUGCCGAGGCAAAAGACCGAGGACACGAGCUGUUCCAGUAUAAUAAAAUAAGAAUAGUUAUACCAAAUAUAGAUCUUAGAUAUGAUUAUAUAUGAAUAUCAUUAAUCAUUAGUUGGUAGCAAUUACUCUUUAUUCCAAUAUUAUAAUAAUCCUCGCUCUACAAUCAUAACCUAGGAAAAACCAGGCCAUACAGAGAUAGGAGCUGAGGGGACAUAGUGAGGAGUGACCAGAAGACAAGAGUGCGAGCCUUCUGUUAUGCCCAGACAGGGCCACCAGAGGGCUCCUUGGUCUAGCGGUGACGCCAGCGUCUUGGAAGACGCCCGUUACCUAGCGGACCGUGGUCUAGCGGUAGCGAAAAGUGUCAAGAAACAACACCCGCUACUUAGCAGACCGGAAAAGGGAGUCUCCCUUUCCCCGGGGGAGUUUAGAGAAGACUCUGCUCCUCCACCUCUUGUGGAGGGCCUGACAUCAGUCAGACUCGCCCGCAGUUAUCCGGAGGCCUAACCGUCUCCCUGUGAUGCUGUGCUUCAGUGGUCACGCUCCUAGUCCGCCUUCAUGUUCCAUCCUGUACACCUGGCUCUGCCUUCUAGAUAGCAGUAGCAAAAUUAGUGAAAGUACUAAAAGUCUCUGAUAUGCAGAAAUAAUGGCAUAAGCUGUCUCUCUGUCUCCUCUCUCUUUCUGCCUCGGCUGCCAGGCAGGGAAGGGCCCCCUGUCCAGUGGACACGUGACCCACAUGACCUUACCUAUCACUGGAGAUGACUCACACUCUUUACCCUGCCCCUUUUGCCUUGUAUCCAAUAAAUAACAGCGCAGCCCGACAUUCGGGGCCACUACCGGUCUCCGCGCAUUGGUGGUAGUGGUCCGUAGGGCCCAGCUGCCUUUUCUUUUA